rnacentral:rRNA from 1 species
CCUACGGGAGGCAGCAGUGGGGAAUAUUGGACAAUGGGCGAAAGCCUGAUCCAGCCAUGCCGCGUGUGUGAAGAAGGCCUUCGGGUUGUAAAGCACUUUCAGUGGGGAAGAAAGCCUUGGGGCUAAUACCCUCGAGGAAGGACAUCACCCACAGAAGAAGCACCGGCUAACUCCGUGCCAGCAGCCGCGGUAAUACGGAGGGUGCGAGCGUUAAUCGGAAUUACUGGGCGUAAAGCGCGCGUAGGCGGUCUGAUAAGCCGGUUGUGAAAGCCCCGGGCUCAACCUGGGAACGGCAUCCGGAACUGUCAGGCUAGAGUGCAGGAGAGGAAGGUAGGAUUCCCGGUGUAGCGGUGAAAUGCGUAGAGAUCGGGAGGAAUACCAGUGGCGAAGGCGGUCUUCUUGACUGACACUGACGCUGAGGUGCGAAAGCGUGGGUAGCAAACAGGAUUAGAUACCCUGGUAGUC